AAUGGGACCCUAGUGGCGGACGGGUGAGUAACGCGUGGGUAACCUACCCCAUACCGGGGGAUAACACUUAGAAAUAGGUGCUAAUACCGCAUAAGCGCACGGUACUGCAUGGUACAGUGUGAAAAACUCCGGUGGUAUGGGAUGGACCCGCGUCUGAUUAGCUUGUUGGCGGGGUAACGGCCCACCAAGGCGACGAUCAGUAGCCGGCCUGAGAGGGUGGACGGCCACAUUGGGACUGAGACACGGCCCAAACUCCUACGGGAGGCAGCAG
rnacentral:rRNA from 1 species